rnacentral:rRNA from 1 species
AGAGUUUGAUCCUGGCUCAGAUUAACGCUGCGGCAUCCUUACACAUGCAAGUCGAACGGCAGCGCGUCCUUCGGGAUGGCGGCGAGUGGCGAACGGGUGAGUAGAGCAUCGGAACGUGCCCGGUAGUGCGGGAUAGCUCGGCGAAAGCCGGAUUAAUACCGCAUGAGAUCCGAGGAUGAAAGCAGGGGACCGCAAGGGCCUUGCGCUACUGGAGUGGCCGAUGUCAGAUUAGGUAGUUGGUGGGGUAAAGGCUCACCAAGCCUGCGAUCUGUAGCUGGUCUGAGAGGAUGAUCAGCCACAUCGGGACUGAGACACGGCCCGAACUCCUACGGGAGGCAGCAGUGGGGAAUUUUGGACAAUGGGCGCAAGCCUGAUCCAGCCAUGCCGCGUGCAGGAUGAAGGCCCUCGGGUUGUAAACUGCUUUUGUACGGAACGAAAAGCCUCCUUCUAAAUAAGGGGGGUGAUGACGGUACCGUAAGAAUAAGCACCGGCUAACUACGUGCCAGCAGCCGCGGUAAUAC